GAUGAACGCUGGCGGCGUGCCUAAUACAUGCAAGUCGAGCGAACGGACGAGAAGCUUGCUUCUCUGAUGUUAGCGGCGGACGGGUGAGUAACACGUGGAUAACCUACCUAUAAGACUGGGAUAACUUCGGGAAACCGGAGCUAAUACCGGAUAAUAUUUUGAACCGCAUGGUUCAAAAGUGAAAGACGGUCUUGCUGUCACUUAUAGAUGGAUCCGCGCUGCAUUAGCUAGUUGGUAAGGUAACGGCUUACCAAGGCAACGAUGCGUAGCCGACCUGAGAGGGUGAUCGGCCACACUGGAACUGAGACACGGUCCAGACUCCUACGGGAGGCAGCAGUAGGGAAUCUUCCGCAAAGGGCGAAAGCCUGACGGAGCAACGCCGCGUGAGUGAUGAAGGUCUUCGGAUCGUAAAACUCUGUUAUUAGGGAAGAACAAAUGUGUAAGUAACUGUGCACAUCUUGACGGUACCUAAUCAGAAAGCCACGGCUAACUACGUG
rnacentral:rRNA from 1 species